GAUGAACGCUAGCGGAAGGCCUAAUACAUGCAAGUCGAGGGGUAACAGAUCUUCGGAUGCUGACGACCGGCGCACGGGUGAGUAACACGUACGCAAUCUACCUUUAACAGGGGGAUAGCCUUGGGAAACUGAGAUUAAUACCCCAUAACAUAUGAUAUACGCAUGUAUGACAUAUUAAAGUUUCGACGGUUAAAGAUGAGCGUGCGUUCGAUUAGGUAGUUGGUAGGGUAAUGGCCUACCAAGCCUACGAUCGAUAGCUGUUUUGAGAGGAUGAUCAGCCACACUGGAACUGAGACACGGUCCAG
rnacentral:rRNA from 1 species